rnacentral:rRNA from 1 species
AUUGAACGCUGGCGGCAUGCCUUACACAUGCAAGUCGAACGGCAGCACGGGUGCUUGCACCUGGUGGCGAGUGGCGAACGGGUGAGUAAUACAUCGGAACAUGUCCUGUAGUGGGGGAUAGCCCGGCGAAAGCCGGAUUAAUACCGCAUACGAUCUACGGAUGAAAGCGGGGGACCUUCGGGCCUCGCGCUAUAGGGUUGGCCGAUGGCUGAUUCGCUAGUUGGUGGGGUAAAGGCCUACCAAGGCGACGAUCAGUAGCUGGUCUGAGAGGACGACCAGCCACACUGGGACUGAGACACGGCCCAGACUCCUACGGGAGGCAGCAGUGGGGAAUUUUGGACAAUGGGCGAAAGCCUGAUCCAGCAAUGCCGCGUGUGUGAAGAAGGCCUUCGGGUUGUAAAGCACUUUUGUCCGGAAAGAAAUCCUUGGCCCUAAUACGGUCGGGGGAUGACGGUACCGGAAGAAUAAGCACCGGCUAACUACGUG